rnacentral:rRNA from 1 species
CCUACGGGUGGCAGCAGUGAGGAAUAUUGGUCAAUGGGCGAGAGCCUGAACCAGCCAAGUCGCGUGAGGGAGUACUGCCCUAUGGGUUGUAAACCUCUUUUGUCGGGGAGCAAAAGCCGGACGUGUCCGGCUGUGAGCGUACCCGACGAAAAAGCAUCGGCUAACUCCGUGCCAGCAGCUGCGGUAAUACGGAGGAUGCGAGCGUUAUCCGGAUUUUUUGGGUUUAAAGGGUGAGUAGGCUGUGAGGUAAGUCAGCGGUGAAAUGCCCCCGCUCAACGGGGUGAAGUGCCAUUGCUACUGCCUUGCUGGAAUGCGGAUGCCGUGGGAGGAAUGUGUGGUGUAGCGGUGAAAUGCUUAGAUAUCACGAAGAACUCCGAUUGCGAAGGCAGCCUGCUGGACUGUAACUGACGCUGAUGCUCGAAAGUGUGGGUAUCAAACAGGAUUAGAUACCCUGGUAGUC